UCUUGAUUGUGUUAACUUUAUUAUGUUUUCUUGAUUGAUUGUGUGAUAUUUGUGCUUGUUAAGAUGAAUGUAGAUGUUUUGCGAUCAUUUGAAAAUGCAUUUCCGUUUACACGGUAUAAAUACAUAAUGUGAAUUCAAGAUGAAUCAAUUCGAACUUGUGUUCAAAAUUGAUCGAAUCUUGAAUUAUAUCAAAUUUCCUUAAUUCAAUCAAAAUAUUCAAAUUUCAUGUUUUUGAGAUAUUUUGAUUACACAUUUUUCUGUUGAACUUAGUCUAUAAAAUUUUUUUGUUGCAAAGGUUUCUACUAUGAUUGUAUGGAAAACUUUGAUACGUAAAGUCUUCAAAAUUUUAUUUAGCUUGCACGACCAUCUAUUUAUGUUCUAGGCGUGACAAAAAUCAACUCUGCUACUUUAGAAAGAAAAAGCAUCUACUAAAAAUGAUUUUUGGCAUAGCUGACUCAAUGUGAUCUCUGGCUAGAAAUUCACAAUGCUUAUAUGAACUUAUUAUUUACAUACAUAUAUUAUUUCAUUAUUUUAUUCUAUCACAUCUAUGCAUAUGUUUAAAUAUAUUAUAUAUAUUUUUUAAAUUAUAUAUAUAAUAAGUUACAUGUGUCAUAGUGUGCAUGUAAAACAUGCCACCAGUGACAAUGCUCCUUUAUUUAUUUAUUUAAAAUAAAAUAAAAUAUAUAUAUAUUGUCAUUUAGUGUCACAUGUCUAUCUUUAUUUUUUUUCCAAACUCCUAAAUUUUCUAUUCAUUCUCCUUGUUGACAUAUAUUUCCUUCAUCUUUGCUCUAUUUUUGCUCAUAAAAUUCUCACAAGGACAAUACUCAAAGCAUACUCACGUCAUCAUGCAUCUAUUCACCAAAGCUUCUUGUUGACAAGUUCAAGUUUUUAUCAUGGUUCUCACAAAUUUGUAUCAUCGGCAAUUCAAGUUUUAUUAUUGUGCUUUAACUUCAUAGCUCAAAGAACUAGACAACCUAGGUCAACAAAGAAUUCAGCUCAAUCCUUGAUAAAGAUUGAAUCAAUUGAAAGAACUAAUCAAGGAGGCUACAGAUUCAAAGCUUACCGUCCAAGGCAUCAAAGAAUUAUUGACUGUAAAGACAAACAAUUUCCUCCUAAGUAUCAAGUGAAUGUUCCUCUAGCAUCUCAUGAUAUUCCAAGAUCGAGCUCCUGGAUUCAAAAGCAACCCAAAAUGGAACGUGAAGAAAUGAUGAACCUGUUCCAAAUUCAAUAUACUAGUAUGAUGAGUUUCAUGAGUGAAAGGUUUCUAGCUCUACAUCUUCGUUUGGAUGGAAUUCAUGAAAGGCAAAAUCACAUCAUGCUUAAACAAUAAUGCUUAAGAGAGGAUCACGAGAGCUUUUAGCAAGAAGUUUGUAAUUGGAUGAAUUGUCAUCCAUGAUCAUGCAUUUCAUAUUAUUGCAUUUUGCACUUCAUAAUCUGGGUUCUUAUUUUAUUUUUUUGCUAUGUUUUGAUGUUGAUUCUUGAUUAUUAUAUAUGAUAUUGAACACCAAUAUUUCUGCU